rnacentral:rRNA from 1 species
GACGAACCGUGCAAACGUUGUUCGGAAUCACUGGGCUUAAAGGGCGCGUAGGCGGAUGAGCAAGUCUGUGGUGAAAUCCCCCGGCUUAACCGGGGAACUGCCGUGGAUACUGCCCAUCUCGAGGAAGAUAGGGGCGUCUGGAACUAGCGGUGGAGCGGUGAAAUGCGUUGAUAUCUACAGGAACUCCGGUGGCGAAAGCGGCGCGCUGGACCUCUUCUGACGCUGAGGCGCGAAAGCUAGGGGAGCAAACGGG